rnacentral:misc_RNA from 1 species
AUAACAUAAAUAUACUGAAAUCCUCUCAACACAACAAUCUCGAGUGAACAAUGGAGAAAAACUACGAUCCAUUCAAAGGACAAUCUCGUCUUCCCAAAUUUGCUGUUCCAAAGAGGUAUGAUUUGAAGUUGAAACCCGACCUUGUCACCUGUAAGUUCGCCGGCGCCGUUGACAUCUCCCUCGAUGUUGUCUCUCCCACCAAAUUCAUUGUUCUCAAUGCUGCUGAACUCUCUGUUGACCCCAAAACUGUUCAUUUCAAAUCUUCAAACAAGGUAUUUGAGGCAUUGGAAGUGGGGUUGAUUGAAGAGGAUGAGAUAUUGGUGGUGGAGUUUGGAGAAAGUUUGCCAGUUGGUUUUGGAGUUCUCAGUCUGGCUUUUGAAGGAACACUGAAUGACCGGAUGAAAGGGUUUUACAGGAGUACCUACGAACAUAAUGGGGAGAAACGGAAUAUGGCUGUUACUCAAUUUGAACCAGCUGAUGCCAGACGUUGCUUUCCAUGCUGGGAUGAACCUGCUUGUAAGGCCACCUUUAAAAUUACACUUGAAGUACCAUCAGAACUGGUAGCUCUCUCCAACAUGCCGGCUGAAGAAGAAAAAGUGACGGGGAAUCUUAAAACAGUUCAUUAUCAAGAGUCUCCAAUAAUGUCUACAUACUUGGUGGCAAUUGUGGUUGGCUUAUUCGACUAUGUUGAGGAUCAAACAUCUGAUGGAAUUCCUGUUCGAGUAUAUUGUCAGGUAGGCAAGGCAAAUCAAGGAAACUUUGCAUUGCAUGUUGCUGUCAAAACGCUGCCUCUCUUCAAAGAGUACUUUGGUGCACCAUAUUCACUACCCAAAUUGGACAUGAUUGCAAUUCCUGAUUUUGCUGCAGGCGCAAUGGAAAAUUAUGGUCUUGUUACAUACCGAGAAACAGCAUUGCUUUAUGAUGAUAAGCAUUCUGCCGCUGCUAACAAGCAGAGGGUUGCAACUGUGGUGGCUCAUGAGCUUGCUCAUCAGUGGUUUGGCAAUCUUGUA